ACCACUUCCAUAAAAAGAGAUGAUCCUUCACUAACCCUAGGAGGAGGGAACCUCCCCCCCUCAAUCAGUCGCUAGGGAUCUUCUCCAAAACCCCACCAAACCAGCCAGAACUCCUCAUCUCUUGACCCCAUACUGCCGACCAGCCACAACCAACAAAGAUCAACCCUAUCAGCCGCCCCCAGCUCUCUCUUCACUCUUCAACUCAGAAGCCAUACUCCCUCCUCUCAAAUCUGCCGCUGCACCACCCACCCUUCUAUAACCAUCGUCGCCGCACCAGCCCCCCUCUCCUUCCAUUCCAUUUUGCUUAAUCUCUCUCAUUUUCUCAUGAAAAAGCCAGCGACACUCACAAAGAAAAAAGAAAACAACAGCCAUCUCUUUGGAUAAAAAAUGGAACACAAUCUUUUAGUCGCAAUAGAAUUUCGAUCCAGAUUUGAAGUCUAUUUGAGUUCAUUUAGUCGGGGUGCCGUUCGAGGUUGAAAGUCAUAGUUUCAGUUGGCGUUUUCAUUUCCGGUUUGUCGAGGUAGUCGAAAGGUUCAUCUCUUUUCAUCACUUUUAUUAAUCCAUAGAUAUACUUCGUGUUUUCGUGCAUUUAAACUUGCUAUGAUUUUAAUCUUGGUUAGCUUCACUGUUAUUUUGUUUGAUUUGUUCAUGGAGUGAUUGAAUUAGUCUGUUAUGAUUUUAAUCUUGGUUAGCUUCACUGAAUUAUGUCUUAUAAGAUCUGUUCUAUACAUUUGAAAAUGAAGACAUGAUAGAAUUAGCUUGAAUGGAGAUGGCGACACUUUGAGGGGUUGAGUCGGAGAAAUAAUCUAUAAAAAUUGGAAUUGGCUCUUGGUCAUAAACUGUGCAUCAAACUUAAUAUCAUUUUAAUUUAUUCUUAUUAUUUUUAGUCGCUUGGGGCAUGUUCAGGCCCGCCACACUCGGGUAGGCAAAUCUUAGGUUCUUUAUUUAUUUAUUUUAUUUUUAUUCGAGGUGAGAGGUCGAUCCCUUUAGUUUAUAUUCAGGGGAAUGCCCAGUAGAUUUUGUAUAUAUUUUUAUUCGGGGUAUAUCCCGUAAUGAAUGUAAUUGGAGGCCAUGGAGGACAUUGCGAAGUAAACAUAAUAUAUAUUCUUAGUAUUUUUCUCUUACUUUAUUUUCUUUUUUAGGUGGGGACGACCUCGAGCCUCUUGUGUGUUUAUUUUUCUUUGUGUUUUCUUUUAUCUUAGUUCGAGUGUUCUCUAAAGCCAACUUGAUCAUGUAUGCAACCGUACUAGUUACGGGACUCGAGAAUGCCUAACACCUUCUCCCCGAGUCAAAUGAACCCCCUUACCUAGAUCUUUGGUGCAGUCAGUUUUAGAGUCUAAACGUGCUUCAAAAGAACAAAUCAUUUCUAAAAAAAAUGGUGACGUGACACAGCAAAACCAAAUGUCAUAUGGCGACUCUGAAAAUCUUUUGAAUACAAAUUUUUGUCACUUUCUAAUUGAAAACCAUUUUGAGCUUCAAAAUCACUUUAUGUAUUUUAAAUGGGUUAGUGGUUGUAAAAAGGGGUAUGACAGCUCUAUCGACUCUGCUGGGGAGUUGCAAGUUCGAGCUGAUACUUGAUCUUGUUGGCUUUUAAGAUAUUCAGUUGAGGUGUUUGUUUUCUUUAUUUGCCUUGUUUAUUUGGUUUGUUUGUCUUAUUUUCUGUUUUGUUGGUUAUUUGUUUAUCACUUUUCCUUAUGUUUUACAGCUUUAUAACUGUCAUCAUUUGCAUAACAAUAGGUUUUCUUUCUGCAACAAGUCUUCCGGAGUACAUUUGAGCGUACACGGCCUUUUUGCGAGUUGCCCGUAUCUUUAGGGGGUGGCGUGGGAGCGUCAAAUGAGCGGGCAGCUACAACAACCGCUAUCAACCACGUGCCACCCCGAAUUGCCUUGUCUAGUGAACCCCAAACUUAUGUUAGCCUUUAGGUCAUGCUUAUUUGCAUCAUGUCAUUUACACUUAGCUGGGCUUGAUCCUAGGCACCACGUCCCUUUAUAGGAGGCGUAUCCAAAUUAUGUCAAAAUGGUCAUGGCCCAAAAAGACAUUUAAUCAUCCAUAUGUGCAACAUCUAUAUUCUUAAAGGGUAAAUGAGUCAUUUGGCAGACCAAUGAUGGUUGAGGGUAGAUGAGAAAGAAAAGAGGGUGAAGUAUAAAGAUGAAGCAAGUAGGUCCCAGUUAUAUUUUUCUUUCAUAACUUUUUAAGAAAAGACAAAAAAAUGAAAAUGAAAAAUCCAAAAAUAUUUUGCACUUUCCCAUCAUUUUCAAAAAAAAAAAGACAAAAAAAUAUGUUUUCUCCAAAUCGAUGUUUUUUAUAAAUUUUCUCCCGUAUCCAAUCUUCUCGAACUACGAUACCUGAUUCUCGUAUUUCGGGGCAAGAUACAUAGACAACCCACAUAUGGUCCAAUCUUUCUCCUCUUUCUAGUGAAUCUUAAGUCGUUGGCUUCGGGGGUCGUAGCCACAUCUUGCAUGUCUAGCCACUUUUGGUCACAUCGGUCUUUUUUGCAAAAUAGGGCUAUUUUAUCAAAGUAGUUUGUUAUCCCAUGUCUUAGAACCCUAAGUCCAAAACAAGGUGUCCUCUCAGUUUUAAGGUCCAUUCUUGUUGAAUUUGCAUGUCUAACCACUUUUGGCCACAUCGGUCAUUCUUGCAAAAUAGGAUCAUUUUUGUAGAAGUGGUUUAAUAACCCAUGUCUUAGGAUAUUGAGUCUACAACUAGGUUCCAUAUUACUUUAAGGUUUUUCCUUUUUGAGUUUGCAUCUUUAGACACUUUUGGCCAUAUCUGCCGUUUUUGCAAAAUGGGUCAUUUCUGCAAAUUAAUUUUAGGCCAUGAUUAUUGGGAGUUUGAAUCCAUAUAAGCCUUUGUGAGGUAUUUUCAUGUCUUUGAGGUCACCUUUGUUGAGUUUACGCUAAUAGCCACUCUUGGCCACGUAGGUUAAUUUUCAAAAAUAGCCUAAUUGUGUCUUGCAUGUGUCCAAUAUGAGGUGUUGUGGCGUCGCAUAGUGUCUCGAGUCACUAACUCUAUUUGGACUUAUUUUACUCAUUCAGGUAUGGAUUAGUGUACCAGAGGUCGAGCAUGAUAGAUACCCCAGGACCAUCGCAUUUGGGAGCUUGUUUGAAGAGACUUUUUAUAUUUUGAGUCUGUUUUCAUAUUUUCUUUUACUUUCUUGUCUUGUAUACUAGUUUUGGGUCUUUUAGGUGGUGUAAGAGUUUGCCGAGUCUUUUGUCAUCAUACUUCCCAUUUGUAUUUGAAAAAAAAAUAGUUAUAAAUGAAAAUCCAAAAAGAUUUUUGUUUUUUAGUUUAUUUUGUCCAUUAUUUUCCAGAACUACGCUUGGUAUGAUUCAUGUGGAAUAUGAUACAUAGGCAGCCUACAUAGGGUUCGAUCGAAUCAUUAUUAAAAAAGAAAAAGAAAAAAAAGAAUGAAGUUAUGGGAUGUGAGAAAUGAGAGGAAAGAAAAGAGUAAUAAUAAGAAAAGAAAAGAGAGGAAAGAAAACGAGCAAGCCAAGAAAUGCUAGAAAAGAAAGAAAAGAGAAGAUUGAAAUGAACAGAAUUGGGAUGAUGUCAAAUGACCUCGUGACUCUCGAAGUCAUUCUAGAACCGUUAAUUGUUGCUAGGUGCAUUGCACACAAUGUGAUAUUUCUAUCUGAUAAAUGCCAUAACGCUAACAUGUUGGCUUUGUUUUGCUCCUCUAUGGUACUUUAAUUGUUAUCAUAAUAGAAGGUGGUUAGUUUGUGGAAUUCUAACGAGUCAUCCGUACAACACAAGGUCAAAGAGCAAGGUAGCCAUGGCUAGCAAAGACUUGGACACAGGUGUUGUUGAUUCGUCUAAGGAGAUUGUUGUAUCAGAAUCUGAGUUAAAAGAAGAGGUCCUAAGGUUGAAAGGACAGAUGGCCGAAAUAUACCAAGCCUGGAUUAGUGGAGUGCCCUCCACCAUUAUUACCCACUAACUACACCGAAAGCCUCAUCACCAUUUCGCCAUUGUCACAAAAAUCCAGAUUUCCACUACUGCUGAUAUUCUCCCACAACCUUUUCACACUCUACCCCCAAAACCACCUCAUAUCCCGCUCCUUUGACCACUCAUAUUUUUUUAGCUCCACCACCAGUUAUUCUUCCUUAAUCCUCUAGCGAGACUGUGUUGAAAGUCCCCGAUGCCCAACACUAUGCUCUAGAACCAACUUUUAAGGUCUUGGAUCCAUACUCUUACGCUCCUCAUUUUGAGCCUCCUAGUGAAACUGAAAAUCCUGCUAAGACAAUGGAGCAAGAUGAUAUAUCCAGGAAGGUGAAAAUCUUAGAGUAGUCUUUAAGAAGCAUUCAAGGGAUAGGGAGCCAGGUGAGCGUGUCUUACAAAGACUUGUGCUUGUUUCUUGAUGUCCAUUUACCUGCUAGGUUUAAGAUGCCAAAGUUUGAUUUGUAUGACGGACAUGGGGAUCCCGUAUCCCACUUGAGAGAUUAUUGCAAUAAGAUGAGAGGCGCCGGUGGAAAUGACGAGUUAUUGAUGGCAUAUUUUAGUCAGAGUUUGAGUGGGGCAGCUCUGGAGUGGUACACCUGCCAAGACUCUAGCAGGUGGUACACAUGGGACGAUAUGACUUAGGCCUUUGCCUAACACUUUCAGUACAAUAUAGAAAUUUUCCCGGACCACAUGUCCCUCACCAAGAUGGAAAAGAUGGCUAAUGAAAGCUUUAGGGAAUACGGGCUCAGAUGGAGAGAGAAAGCUGCCUGAGUCAAUCCCCCGAUGGAAGAAGACGAGAUGGCUGAGUACUUUCUUAAAACUCAAGAGCCUACUUACUUUGGGCCUAUGAUCUCGGCUGUGGGUAAGCCUUUUAUUGAUAUGGUAAAAAUGGGAGAAAUGGUAGAAGAUUGGCUGAAGUCAAGCAAGAUCAUGAGCUAUUCUGCUUUAAAAGCCAUAACACAAGCAAUUUAGAACGGCAUAUGAAGAUUGAUGGGUCAGAAGAAACACUCAUGGGCACCGUAAGUCGACGGUGAGUUGAGAAAAUGAGCAAAAUGAGAGAGGCUUGAUGGUGAAAACCCUUCAGGGUACUACAAGUCGACUGAUAAUUGUGGAUCAAAUAGAACAAUUGGAGCGCCGAAGCCUAGUUUCACAACUUAGAGGCAUAACAAGAGUUGAAGGUUAGACAUGCUUGACAGAUCAUGCCGCUUAAUCUAAAAUGCAUGUCAUGGUUAGUGGAGAUGGCCUUCAAAUCAGAUUAGUUUCUACUUUGUUCUCUUUCCUAGGUAAAAAUAUUUUCUUGUUAGAUACCAUCUCUUCUCGUUUUUUCCCUUAUUUUGGUCCUCUUGUUUUGUUUGAGUCCCUUUUGAGUCUGUUUGUAUUGAAACAAGUGAGAAAUAACUUCAAAAUCUGCUACCAGCUUUUUAAUCACACAAAGCCGAGUCUGGCAAGCUCAUCAAAAUGACAUAAGACACAGGAGAAUAGUGUGUGCACUGAGUUGGUGAUAAUAGAUGUUCUUUAGGAUUGAUGUAAAAUGCAAUGAUUUGGUGAAUGUUAGAACACGAGUGCAAAGCAUCGGUCAUAAGGUAUUGGACUUGAACGAAUCAGGAAUAUUUCUUGUGAUAAGGGUUGUCCGAAGAAAUGGUCGGCCGAUAACAAGCACUGUCUUCCAAGUUGAAGUCCAAGUUGACCGUGACAAGUGCAAGAGAAAUCGCCCUCGUAAUCAAGGCCACAAACUAACCACCAUGUUUUAAACUCACAAGUUUUCUUUGUCUGAAAUAGGGAUGAAGGCUAUAUUCAUAUCAAAGCUUGAAUUUUUCUGAUGUAAUGCCCCAAUUGUGCUUAUGCAAAGGCUAUUGAGAAGAUCACACAUCAACCCUAGGAGACGCACUUCCUAGUCUGGGUCUUUCAGGUUAUACUUUUGUUUUAGGAGAUGCACUUCCUAAAUUGAGAUUCCACCAGAGGAGACGCACUUUCUAGUUUUGGUCAUUUAAAUUCAUCCCUAGGAGAUGCACAUCCUAGUUGGAGUCAUUGAAGUUUUACCCGUUGGGAGAUACACUUCCUAGUAGGGGUCUUUUAGAUACUUUUUAGGAGACGCAUUUCCUAGCUUUGGUCAUUUAAAUUCAUUCCUAGGAGACACAAUUCCUAGUUUGAGUCAAUGAAGUUUCGCCCCUAGCAGACGCACUUCUUAAUCUAGGUUUUUUCAAGUUACACUGUUUAGGAGAUGCACUUCCUAAAUUGAGAUUUUACCCCUAAGAGAUGCACUUCCUAGUUUGGGUCAUUUAAUUUCAUUCCUAGGAGACAGACUUCCUNNNNNNNNNNNNNNNNNNNNNNNNNCAUACUUCCUAGUUUGAGUCAUUGAAGUUUCAGCCCUAGCAGACGCACUUCCUAGUUUAGGUCUUUUAGGUUAUACUUUUGUUUUAGUAGAUGCACUUCUUAAAUUGAGAUUCAACCCCUAGGAGACACACUUCCUAGUUUUGGUCAUUUAAGUUCAUUCCUAGGAGACUCACUUUCUAGUUUGAGUCAUUGAAGUUUUACCCCUAGGAGACGCACUUCCUAAUUUAGGUCUUUCAGGUUAUAUUUUUAUUUUACGAGACGCACUAAUUGAAAUUUUACCCCUAGGAGACACACUUCCUAGUUUUGGGUCAUUUAAGUUCAUUCCUAGAAGAUGUAGUUCCUAGUUUGAGUCAUUGAAGUUUCACCCCUAUGAGACACACUUCCUAGUCUGGGUCUUUCAGGUUAUAUUUUUGUUUUGGGAGAUGCACUUCCUAAAUUGAGAUUAUACCGCUAGGAGAUGCACUUCCUAGUUUGGUUCAUUCAAGUUUUACCCGUAGGAGAUUCAAGUUUCACCCGUAGGAGACACACUUCCUAAUCUGGGUCUUUCAGGUUAUUCUUUUAGGAGACGCACUUCCUAAAUUGAAAUUUCACCCCUAGGAGAUGCAAUUCAUAGUUUGAUUCAUUCAAGUUUUACCCCUAGGAGACACACUUCCUAGUUUGGUUCAUUCAAGUUUUAUCCCUAGGAGAUGCACUUCCUAGUUUGGUUCAUUCAAGUUUCACCCAUAGGAGACACACUUCAUAGUCUGGGUCUUUCAAGUUAUAUUUUCUUUAAGAGACGCACUUCCUAAAUUGAGAUUUCACCCCUAGGAUAUGCAAUUCCUAGUUUGGUUCAUUCAAGUUUCAUCCCUAGGAGACGCAAUUCCUAGUUUGGUUCGUUCAAGUUUCACCCGUAGGAGACGCACUCCCUAAUCUGGGUCUUUCAGGUUAUUCUCCUAGGAGACACACUUCCUAGUUUGGGUUAUUCAGGUUUUAUUUUUAGCCGAUGCAUUUGCUAGUCAAAUUUUCUUCGUUUUACUCACAGGAGACGCACAUCCCAGUCGAGUCUUUAGUUUUACUCUCAUCAUUGCAUCAACAACAUAGGUGAUUUAUAGUUUUGCUAACAACUCACAAAUCUUCCUAGUGUAAACUGGGGCAGAAAAUUUUGUUUGUUUUGUUGUUUUGAUUGCAAGCACCCACCUGGAGAACGAGGAAAUUCUUUUCAGAGUUACUUCAAAUUUCAAGUCAGUAGCAGGUGCCCACCUGAAGAACGAGGGAAGUCAUUUCAGAAUUCAAUUCAAGUUAGAAGUAGCAGAAGCUCACCUAAGGAAUGCGAGUCAAUAGUCCGAGAUGACCAAAAAAAGAAGUCUCAAUCCAAAAUGAAAAAAGAAAAAAAGUAAAUCCAAAUGUAGAAGCAGAUGAAAGAUGUGAACUGCUCAAGACAUGGUUGAAGUUACGAGCACUGCAUGUCCGGUCUUGAUCCGAAGAAGUCGUGGAAGAAUGAAUCAACACCUGCAGCUAGCAAGCAUCAAGGUUCAAAUCAAAAGUCUGCAUGAAGAACCAUUCAAGACUCAAGAUCAAGUUUCAGUAGACUUAUAGAUAGGAAUCUUGUAACUCAAAACUGAUAGGCUUGCUUAGUUUUUUGAGAUUUUGAUUUGAUGUAAUAACAGGACCACGGACCGGAACCUCAAUAGAAUGGUAUCUCACCUGACUCUCUCAUCCUCUCCACACACUCCAUCACUUCAUUCACUUCUGAACUACACGUGGCUUAAUUCCUUUAUAGCCAAGCAUAUGCAGACAGCUCAGAUACUAGGGCUCGGUCACAAUAUUUUACCCAUCUUUCUUUUCUUUUGAAUAAGCGUCGGGUCAUAAAUCAAUUACGUUGCUUAUUGUCUUUUGCUCCGAAAACUCUUCGUAUUUCCAAACAAAGAGGGGCAGCUGUAAGCACGUAAUAUUUGACUCGGGCAACUUUCAAAAGUAGUAUUUUUAAAAAUAUUUACUUAUUUUGAUUUUAAUAGGAUUUAGUCUAUUUUUCACUUUUAAUCUAAAAGUCGAACAUAAAAUUCAAAAACACAGAAAAUAGUUUCACUUUGAUUUUUUACCUCAUUACAUAUCUUUUCUCAAGAAUAUUAAUAUUUUUGGUAGCAAUAUUAUUUUAAUUUUAUGAUAAUUUAAUUUAAUCUCAUUUUUAUUUUUAGCAUGAUAUUUGAAAAUACCAAAAGUAGUUUGUUUUAACGGUUAGUUUUAUUAUAAUAGUUAUUUCUACUUAAGUAGGAUUAAUUAGUAUAUGUUGGUAGUAUUUUUUAUUCUUGUUCAAUGAGAAAGAAUCAAAUUUGAGCUAAAAUAAUUCAUUUUUGAGGCCCAUUUUCCGAAUUGAGCCAUUAGCCCAUACACCCACUUCCCUAAAAAGAGAGGACCUUUCAGUAACACUAGGAGGAGAGACCCCCUCAUCAGCUGCUAGGGAUCUUCUCCAAAAACCCCACCAAACCAGCCGGAACUCCUCAUCUCUCGACCCCAUACUGCCGACCAGCCACACGACCACCAAAGAUCACCCCUAUCAGCCUCCCCCAGCUCCCUAUUUACUGUUCACCUCAGAAGCCAUACUCCAUCCUCUCAAAUCUGCUGCUGCACCACCCCUCCCUUCUAUAACCAUUGCCGCCGCACCAACCCCCCUCCUUCCAUUCCAUUUUGCUUAAUCUCUCUCAUUUUCUCACGGAAAAGCCAAUGACACUCACAAAGAAAAAAGAAAAUAGCAACCAUCUCUUUGGAUAAAAAAUGGAACACAAUCUUUCAGUCGCAAUAAAUGUCACAAUAGAAUUUCGAUCCAAAUUGAAGUCUAUUUGAGUUCAUUUAGUCGGGGUCCCGUUCGAGGUUGAAAGUCGCAGUUUUAGUUGGCAUUUUCAUUUCCAGUCGAAAGAUUCAUCUCUUUUCAUCACUUUUAUUAAUCCAUAGAUAUACUUCGUGUUUUCGUGUAUUUGAACUUGCUAUAAUUUUACUCUUGGUUAGCUUCACUGUUAUUUUGUUUGAUUUGUUCUUGGAAUGGUUGAAUUAAUUUGUUAUGAUUUUAAUCCUGGUUAGCUUCACUGAAUUAUGUUUUAUAUGAUAUGUUCUAUACAUUUGAAAAUGAAGACUUGAAUGGAGAUGGCGACACUUUGAGGGUUGGGUCGGAGAAAUAAUCUAUGAAAAUUGGAAUUGGAUCUUGGUCAUAAACUGUGAAUUAAACUUAAUAUCAUUUUAUUUUAUUCUUAUUAUUUUUAGUCGCUAGGGGCAUGUUCAGGUCGGCCACACUGGGGUAGGUAAAUCUUAGGUUCUUUAUUUAUUUAUUUUAUUUUUAUUCAAGGGGAGAGGUCGUUCUCUUUAGUUUAUAUUCAGGGGAAUGCUUCGUAGAUUUUGUAUAUAUUUUUAUUCGGGGUAUGCCCCGUAAUGAAUGUAACUGGAGGCCGCGG
rnacentral:lncRNA from 1 species